AGGCUGCACUCUAACUAUUGAUGGCUGCCAUAUUCUAAGAGAAAUGUGUCACUUACUCCAUAUCGAGAUCAUGCCAUUCUAUAGUUCCAUCAAGUCACGUCACUCCAUGUUGAGACCAUAUCACCCCAGCGACUAGUUGUGCACCAGCUAAAGUCACGUCAAUCUCAGAACCUCUAAUUGUAAUCUUAAGUCAUUAAUAAAAAAUAGCUGGCUACCUGUUAGAUAAGUUAAUAACACCCAUCAAAUCCAAG
rnacentral:lncRNA from 1 species